rnacentral:rRNA from 1 species
AUUGAACGCUGGCGGCAUGCUCUACACAUGCAAGUCGAACGGUAACAGGCCGCAAGGUGCUGACGAGUGGCGAACGGGUGAGUAAUGCAUCGGAACGUGCCCAGUCGUGGGGGAUAACUACUCGAAAGAGUAGCUAAUACCGCAUACGAUCUAUGGAUGAAGGCGGGGGACCGUAAGGCCUCGCGCGAUUGGAGCGGCCGAUGUCAGAUUAGGUAGUUGGUGGGGUAAAGGCUCACCAAGCCAACGAUCUGUAGCUGGUCUGAGAGGACGACCAGCCACACUGGGACUGAGACACGGCCCAGACUCCUACGGGAGGCAGCAGUGGGGAAUUUUGGACAAUGGGCGCAAGCCUGAUCCAGCAAUGCCGCGUGCAGGAAGAAGGCCUUCGGGUUGUAAACUGCUUUUGUACGGAACGAAACGGCUCUGGUUAAUACCCGGGGCUAAUGACGGUACCGUAAGAAUAAGCACCGGCUAACUACGUG